rnacentral:snoRNA from 1 species
AGCACAGAUGAUGAUUGUGAGGGACUUAAUGCUGAAAUAUGAUGUUUUUUUUUGAGCAAUACUGAUGUGC